rnacentral:tRNA from 1 species
GGGGACAUAGUAUAAAGGUAGUAUGCUGUGUUUGCAUCACAGUGGUAUGAGUUCAAUUCUCAUUGUCUCCA